UUUCUCCUCAGCACGUACAUCAUGCAUUACGUCACCCACAUGACUCUCAACUUGCUACACACGUCUAUGACUCCCAACCUUUGAUUAAUUAGCUCCAUGUUGAUCCUGGCCGUUCAAGCAAGAUGCAGAUUUUUUUUUGGAGAAGCUUCCGUCAAACUUGCUGCCCAAGGAGUUCAAUCCCAGCCUUUGAUCUUUCUUGCUCUUCAAGCUGAAUUCCAGCCAUUAGAUGAGAUCAAAACUGAUCAAUCUUUGCCGUCCAAGCUUCUAUAUAUGGGAGGCACUUCACUUUCAAACGUCACGCCUCACUCUUCUUCUUCCUUCUUCAGUUUUUCUGUUUCUUCUCUAAGUUCCAGCAAACCACUUCCUCCUUAAAAGCCAAAGCAAAGCUGCAGAAUCAACUCUCUUCUCUUCUCUUUCUUUGGCUUGGUCGUUGGAGUUGCAGAAUUUUUCUUCCUCUUCCUCUCGGCUUUACCUCUCUAUGACACUGUAGACCGGAGUCUUUUCGUUAUGGAUGGCAUAGACCCUACCCCUAAGAGCAAUAGAUCAAUAAAGACCGGCCUAACUUUUGUAUUGUGCAUAUUUAUUUUGAAUUUCUGAAAAUAUGCUGUAAUAAUUAAAGAACUACUAUGUAUAUAUUCUUAUAAUGAAAUAUAGCCAUGCGCUAUUCCUGGGAAA